rnacentral:rRNA from 1 species
ACCCUACUAUGCCUAGUCGUAACACAACAAUAAAAUAACUAAUUGUUCGCCAAAUAACUACGAGCGUGAGCUUAAAAUUUAAAAGACUUGACGGUACUUCACAACAACCUAGAGGAGCCUGUCUAAUAACCGAUACCCCACGAUUAACCCAACCUACCCUAGCCUAACAGUCUAUAUACCGCCGUCGCCAGCCUACCUUGUGAAAGAUAUUAAAGUAGGCAGAAUAAACCACCUUUAACACGACAGGUCGAGGUGUAACUAAUGAGUAGGCAAAAGAUGGGCUACAUUUUCUAAUACAGAAAAAACGGACAAACUAUGAAACUAGAAACUGAAGGCGGAUUUAGCAGUAUGUUAAGAAUAAAAUACUUAACUGAAACCAACGCAAUGAAGUGCGCACACACCGCCCGUCAUCCCUGCCACAACCACAAUAAAUUCAUAAAACACACCACCAUAUAAAACAGGGCAAGUC